rnacentral:rRNA from 1 species
UACGUAGGGUGCGAGCGUUGUCCGGAAUUACUGGGCGUAAAGAGCUUGUAGGUGGUUUGUCGCGUUGUUCGUGAAAUCUCACGGCUCAACUGUGAGCGUGCGGGCGAUACGGGCAGACUAGAGUACUGCAGGGGAGACUGGAAUUCCUGGUGUAGCGGUGGAAUGCGCAGAUAUCAGGAGGAACACCAAUGGCGAAGGCAGAUCUCUGGGCCGUAACUGACGCUGAGGAGCGAAAGCAUGGGGAGCGAACAGG